rnacentral:rRNA from 1 species
AGCGAACGCUGGCGGUAGGCCUAACACAUGCGAGUCGAACGGCAGCACAGUAAGAGCUUGCUCUUACGGGUUGCCAGUGGCGGACGGGUGAGGAAUACAUCGGAAUCUACUUUUUCGCGGGGGAUAACGUAGGGAAACUUACGCUAAUACCGCAUACGACCUACGGGUGAAAGCAGGGGAUCUUCGGACCUUGCGCGAUUGAAUGAGCCGAUGUCGGAUUAGCUAGUUGGCGGGGUAAAGGCCCACCAAGGCGCCGAUCCGUAGCUGGUCUGAGAGGAUGAUCGGCCACACUGGAACUUGGACACGGUCCAGGCUCCUACGGGAGGCAGCAGUGGGGAAUAUUGGACAAUGGGGGCAAGCCUGAUCCAGCCAUACCGCGUGGGUGAAGAAGGCCUUCGGGUUGUAAAGCCCUUUUGUUGGGAAAGAAAAGCAGCAGGUUAAUACCCCGCUGUUCUGACGGUACCCAAAGAAUAAGCACCGGCUAACUUCGUG